UCUGGUGUCAGCCGCCGCGGUAAAACCAGCACCUCAAGUGGUCAGGAUGAUUAUUGGGCCUAAAGCAUCCGUAGCCGGCUCUGUAAGUUUUCGGUUAAAUCUGUAUGCUCAACAUACAGGCUGCCGGGAAUACUGCAGAGCUAGGGAGUGGGAGAGGUAGACGGUACUCGGUAGGAAGGGGUAAAAUCCUUUGAUCUAUUGAUGACCACCUGUGGCGAAGGCGGUCUACCAGAACACGUCCGACGGUGAGGGAUGAAAGCUGGGGGAGCAAACCGGAUUAGAUACCCGGGUAGUCCCAGCUGUAAACUAUGCAAACUCAGUGAUGCAUUGGCUUGUGGCCAAUGCAGUGCUGCAGGGAAGCCGUUAAGUUUGCCGCCUGGGAAGUACGUACGCAAGUAUGAAACUUAAAGGAAUUGGCGGGGGAGCACCACAAGGGGUGAAGCCUGCGGUUCAAUUGGAGUCAACGCCAGAAAUCUUACCCGGAGAGACAGCAGAAUGAAGGUCAAGUUGAAGACUUUACCAGACAAGCU
rnacentral:rRNA from 2 species